rnacentral:rRNA from 1 species
CAGCAGCCGCGGUAAUACGGGAGUGGCAAGCGUUAUCCGGAAUUAUUGGGCGUAAAGCGUCCGCAGGCGGCCCUUCAAGUCUGCUGUUAAAACGUGGAGCUUAACUCCAUCAUGGCAGUGGAAACUGUUGGGCUUGAGUGUGGUAGGGGCAGAGGGAAUUCCCGGUGUAGCGGUGAAAUGCGUAGAUAUCGGGAAGAACACCAGUGGCGAAGGCGCUCUGCUGGGCCAUAACUGACGCUCAUGGACGAAAGCCAGGGGAGCGAAAGGGAUUAGAUACCCCUGUAGUCCUGGCCGUAAACGAUGAACACUAGGUGUCGGGGGAAUCGACCCCCUCGGUGUCGUAGCCAACGCGUUAAGUGUUCCGCCUGGGGAGUACGCACGCAAGUGUGAAACUCAAAGGAAUUGACGGGGGCCCGCACAAGCGGUGGAGUAUGUGGUUUAAUUCGAUGCAACGCGAAGAACCUUACCAGGGUUUGACAUCCUGCGAACCUCUUGGAAACGAGAGGGUGCCUUCGGGAGCGCAGUGACAGGUGGUGCAUGGCUGUCGUCAGCUCGUGUCGUGAGAUGUUGGGUUAAGUCCCGCAACGAGCGCAACCCACGUCUUUAGUUGCCAGCAUUUAGUUGGGCACUCUAGAGAGACCGCCGGUGAUAAACCGGAGGAAGGUGUGGAUGACGUCAAGUCAUCAUGCCCCUUACAUCCUGGGCUACACACGUACUACAAUGCUACGGACAAAGAGCAGCAAGUUCGCGAGGACAAGCAAAUCUCAUAAACCGUGGCUUAGUUCAGAUCGUAGGCUGCAACUCGCCUACGUGAAGGAGGAAUCGCUAGUAAUCGCAGGUCAGCAUACUGCGGUGAAUACGUUCCCGGGCCUUGUACACACCGCCCGUCACACCAUGGAAGUUGGCCACGCCCGAAGCCGUUACUCCAACCCUUGUGGAGGAGGACGUCGAAGGUGGGGCUGAUGACUGGGGUG